UACGUAGGGCGCGAGCGUUGUCCGGAAUUACUGGGCGUAAAGAGCUCGUAGGUGGUUUGUCGCGUUGUUCGUGAAAUCUCACGGCUUAACUGUGAGCGUGCGGGCGAUACGGGCAGACUGGAGUACUGCAGGGGAGACUGGAAUUCCUGGUGUAGCGGUGGAAUGCGCAGAUAUCAGGAGGAACACCGGUGGCGAAGGCGGGUCUCUGGGCAGUAACUGACGCUGAGGAGCGAAAGCGUGGGGAGCGAACAGG
rnacentral:rRNA from 1 species